UUUAACACAUGAUGAAUGAAUCCAGAAUGGGCCGUUCCGGAUCCUAAACGGGCCGUUCUGGCCACGUUUGACAUCGAUAAAUAGCAAACUUUGGCACUGCUUUUGGACACACUCUUUGAAGACCAAGGAGAACCAAAAGAAGGAGAUCAGCCAGAUUCUGCUCUAACUUCAUCUUCUGCUUAUCCAGAUGACCAUCAACAUGAGGAUGUUGGUGAUGAAGCUUAGGCUUCAGUUGGGCGUGCUAUGAUAGGAUAUGUGACAUCGUGACGUAGUUAGGAUUAACUUAGAAUGCUAUUUUUGUUAAAUUGAUUAGAAGACCCUAAUUUUAUCCUUUUGUAAUUUCAACAUCAGACUCCGAUUUAUGUUUUGUGAAUGUGAGCUCUUUACCCUUAUGUGGUUAGAGACUUGGAUUUUAUUUAUGAAGGUUUUUAUUUAUCUCUA